rnacentral:rRNA from 1 species
CCUACGGGUGGCAGCAGUGGGGAAUAUUGCACAAUGGGGGAAACCCUGAUCCAGCAACGCCGCGUGAGUGAAGAAGGAUCUCGGUAUGUAAAGCUCUAUCAUCUGUGAAGAAAAUGACGGUACCAGACUAAGAAGCCCCGGCUAACUACGUGCCAGCAGCCGCGGUAAUACGUAGGGAGCAAGCGUUAUCCGGAUUUACUGGGUGUCAAGGGAUCGUAGACGGUGCAGCAAGUCAGAAGUGAAAGCCAAUGGCUUAACCGAGGUACUGCUCUGGAAACUGUUGAUCUUGAGUGCGGUAGGGGGAGGCGGAAUUCCUGGUGUAGGGGUGAAAUGCGUAGAGAUUGGGAGGAAAACAGGUGGCGAAGGCGGCCUACUGGGCUUUAACUGACGCUGAAGCUCGAAAGCGUGGGGAGCAAACAGGAUUAGAUACCCAGUAGUC